rnacentral:hammerhead_ribozyme from 1 species
ACUCAGCUGAUGAGUCCCAAAUAGGACGAAACCCUCGUCUUGAUU